GCUGGAAUCGCUAGUAAUCGCGAAUCAGAAUGUCGCGGUGAAUACGUUCCCGGGUCUUGUACACACCGCCCGUCACACCAUGGGAGUCGGAAAUGCCCGAAGCCGGUGACCCAACCAAAAGGAGGGAGCCGUCGAAGGCAGGUCUGAUAACUGGGGUGAAGUCGUAACAAGGUACC
rnacentral:rRNA from 1 species